rnacentral:rRNA from 1 species
AGCGAACGCUGGCGGCAGGCCUAACACAUGCAAGUCGAACGAACUCUUCGGAGUUAGUGGCGGACGGGUGAGUAACACGUGGGAACGUGCCUUUAGGUUCGGAAUAACUCAGGGAAACUUGUGCUAAUACCGAAUGUGCCCUUCUGGGGAAAGAUUUAUCGCCUUUAGAGCGGCCCGCGUCCGAUGAGCUAGUUGGUGAGGUAAAGGCUAACCAAGGCGAGGAUCAGUAGCUGGUCUGAGAGGCUGAGCAGCGACAUUGGGACUGAGACACGGCCCAAACUCCUACGGGAAGCAGCAGUGGGGAAUCUUGCGAAAUGGGCGAAAGCCUGACGCAGCCAUGCCGCGUGAAUGAUGAAGGUCUUAGGAUUGUAAAAUUCUUUCACCGGGGACGAUAAUGACGGUACCCGGAGAAGAAGCCCCGGCUAACUUCGUG